rnacentral:rRNA from 1 species
CCGCCGCGCGCGGCGGGCCUACGGGAGGCAGCAGUGAGGAAUAUGGUCAAUGGGCGGAAGCCUGAACCAGCCAAGUAGCGUGCAGGAUGACGGCCCUAUGGGUUGUAAACUGCUUUUAUACAGGAAUAAAGUUAGCCACGUGUGGUUAUUGUAGGUACUGUAUGAAUAAGGACCGGCUAAUUCCGUGCCAGCAGCCGCGGUAAUA